UAUACACAAGGCACACACACAAACAGGAAUAACAUGCAUAUAAACACAUACACAGGCACAAGGAUGUGCCUUUACAUGAACAUAUGUAGUUGUAGGCACAUAUGAAUAAACAUACACUCACAUGCAUACAAACAAGUAAACACACAUGUACACACACACAUGCAUACACAUAGUGUGACGGUGAUCAUGUUGGCUUCUUUGCUGUCUCCGUGAGGCCCUGAACCACUACAGCCUAUUGUGUAGAUACAUAUAUGUGUGCACCUGCCUGUGAGUGUGCACCUGUGUGUAUGCAUGAAUGUGCACAUUUGCCCCUGUUUUCAAUGUGCUUAUUGGUGUGUAUGUACAUAUUUUAUGCAAGUGCAUGCAUAUAUGCAUGUGCCCGAGCCUUGGUGCCGGCUGUUUUCUGUCUUGAAUGCUUGUCCUGAAUAUCAUCAUGCCUAGUUCACCUCGUGGCUCCUACUGUCCCCUCUUUAAUCUCUAAUGGCUCCACUUACGCUCACUCUGUCCUGUUACUGACUCACCUCUUGGUUUUCAUGAGAACUAAUUCAUCCUCAGGUGUGAUAACAAGUUGCUUCUACUCAAAAACAACUUUUAUUUUUUAGCUUUAAAGAUGAUCCCCGCCACCUCAAAUAGCUAAUGGUGGUUCUGUGCUACUAGUAAGUUUCAGGACUGUCCUGAGCCCCUGAAACUGCACUCCAUACACAACCAUGUUUGGUCUUGGUACAAGCUAAGAGCCCACUCCUGAGUGUGGCAGUCUCAGUGGCGUUUUGGAUUGUGCUCUUGUGCUCGUCCUUGUCACCUCAUUCCCCUCCCCUAUCCACCAUUUUCCCAAGAUAAAUCAGCCAGGUCAGUCAACACAUUUUGAUGAAAAAGAAACAAGUUAGUCUUUUGACUUGACAAAGUACGCCAUUCUAGGGGCAGAGGGGCCGGGGCAGUCAGGAGCAUGUGGAAUUGGUGCUGCAGAGGCCAAGACAAGGCUCCUUUUGUGUUCUGGGACAAAGAUAAAGUGUCCUGGCAAGAUGGGGCCAGGGCCUUUCCAGCGCCAGCUCUGGCAGACCGGAUUGGCUGGCAGUGGUACAGCUCACCCCUAGCGACUGGAUGGCCUGGCUUCUCACUACCUCCUCCUCUCUUGGACGCAAACAAUUGAGAGCUAGUGAGAGGAGUCAUGAAAGUAAGCUGUUUGUCCUUCCUGGCCACCUGGCUUUCACAGGGAUCGGCAUCCUCAGAUCCGGCAGGCCUAGGACUUGUGCGAGCUUUAAUUUGCUGCUUCCGUGGCUUUGGGAGAGAGAAAGCUGGCCUGGGUUCUAGGUCAGGUGACUUUGGACUCUCGGAGCCUCUGGCUACCAUUGGACAGACAGCACAGCUGCAGGGCAAUUCCAGCUGUACAGACUGAGUGACAUGUUGCGGAGUAACAGCAAAGCGCAUGCUGGAUGCAGAGCCGGCGCUUGGGUUUCCGGAUGCCGCUUACAUCUGGUAUCGCAUCUGAUUCUCAAGGUCACCCCUGUGCAGGAGGCAGGGUGCUCAUUCCCACCGAGUUAGAAACCGAAGCUCUGGGGAGGGAUGGCACCAGCGGGGUGUUAGCACAGGUUAGGGUCCUGAGCAGGCGGGAAGAAACCUCCAUCAUGGAAAUAUUGGAGAGCACACUGGGCCACACCGCUAGCCCUGUGUACUGCUCCAGAUGCACUGCUCUGACUGCUGCAGAGAAUGCCCCUUUCCCACCCCCAGGAUUAAAGGUACGUGCCACCACCACCACACCACUGCUGACACCCGGCUCUAUGUGGAAGACUUUGCAGAGGAUGUGUUUGCCUGGAUGGCUUAUCACUAUACAGCUCUUCCCUGAGCACCUACUCUCUCAUUGUCAGACACAGAGGAACAAGAUAGAAGAGGUCCUGGCCUUCUGGAGCUGAUGUUCAAUCCAACACUCUGGGCCAUAGCUGCACAGCAGAAUCACCUAUGCAAACAGUAACCUUUUUUUUUUUUUUUAAUGGCUGUGUCCUAUGCUGGGGCCAUGGGACUUCAAACGGUGAUUCUAGGCGCCAGCUUUGCUGAGAACUGGAGUGUGAGGUUGCGAAGGAAUGAACACCCACCUAGAAAAGGAAAUUGACCUUGAGAAUGGGAUCCAUAAAAAUGGGGUUGCCACAGCCCAGUAAACAUCUCUGGGGUCACUGGUGAGGAGCCUAUAGCUCCCGUUAAAGCUGUUAAGUACACCAUGGGAAAUGAGGGAACAUGGCCGAGGCUGUGGGGGGAGGGGGGAAGAGCGCAAGCUGGGGGGUGAGUGAGCUGGAGUGGGCAACGCAUUAUAAGGCUGCAUAUUCCUGGGAAGUCACAGGUGGGCCAGAAGGCCCAGAGAUGGCAAUGGUUCCCCAGAACCUGCAGGAGUUCACACUGCCUUGAAGCCCAACCCGUUUUACCCUGAAACCCAGAUGGUGAGGAAGACCUAAGUCACUGUAUUUAAGGCUGACACCAGGUCUCCUCCUACCUACCCUGCCCCUAAAGCAGUCCCAGCUCACAGAAGCCUGGAGCAUUGGGUAAGGAGCUGGGAGGAGUAAGCAGGGAAGUCAAGGACUUUAGAAAGGCUAUCCUUGCUGUAAAGUUCGGCAGCUGGGUGUAUCUGACUGGACCUUUGAGAGGCCUGCAACUGGAGAGGGCUCUAGCCUCACAGCCAUGGGGUACAGGGCCACACACUUUUGUGAAUAGUCUGUAAGGAAACCAUGAGCUCUGACACGGCUAGGAUUCUGCUCCACCCUAUCCAAUCAGAUCCAGAGUCACUGAUCCUAAAGGGGUACUUUAGAAAAGUGUUUCAGUGAGUGGCGGUAGGGUUGUGUUCAAAUAAUGCAGACCUCAUUCAUUUCCUUUAUUACGAGCCUAGAUGCUGUGUUCCAAUGUAUUACGAUACUGUACUAAGAUGCUGGGUCAUGCUAUAUGCUAGGAUAGGUUGCCUUGGAGUUUUAGAUUGGAAUGUUGCUAAGAAUUGUGCUUUAAGAUGUUGAAUUAAAAUAUAAAUUAAAUUAAAA
rnacentral:sRNA from 1 species